AUAUUUUAGAGGAGAAUGAUGCUAAGAGAGAAAAAAUUACAAAUGUCCACUGUAGCACCCUUUUCUGGGGAAAUGCCUUGUUGCACAUAGUUUUGGUCUGCUCCAGAACCAUUCAUGGGACUUCUCUAUAGCUCAGAUGGUAAAGAAUCUGCCUGCAAUGCAGGAGGCCUGGAUUUGAUCCCCUGGAGAAGGAAGUGGCAACCCGCUCCAGUAUUCUUGCCUGGAGAAUCCCAUGGACAGACGCUAGAGUUCAUAGGGUCUCAAAGAGUUGGACACGACUAAGUGACUAGCGCGCACACACAAAACCUUUCAUGGCUCCCCGUUGCCUGUGGGAUAAGGGCCAAGUGCCUCAGUAUGACAUUUAACGUCUGCUCUGAUUUGAAAUUAAUCUAGGGUAGGUCUCCGGCAUCCCCACUGGACUCUGCUCCAGCUUGGUCUUAUUCUGUAGUGCUGAGUGGCUGUGUGUGUACAUCUGUGGCUGGCAGGAAACUGGAAGGCACAGGAAGCAUUCGGGAGUAGUCGGUCUCUGGAGGCCAGAGAGAGGCUUCCAAAAAAAAAGUCCGGGAGGGCUGAACCGCCUACAAGGUGAAAGAAAGGUAGUGUAAUUCAUACCAAGCGCCCCCUUUGGGUGCAAGUGAUCUGGAACACUAGAGGGCGAUAGAGACCUAAUAUACAGUUCAGUUACAGACGGAGCUAAACUCACCACUUGCAAAACGUUACAUUCUGCUCGCGGGACUCCUGCUUCAGUUUCACUCUUUGUAACAAGUCUGAAUGACAUAUCAGUCUUGCAGGCUGCCAAGCGCUCAAAUUGCUCUCUGCUUUUUGUUUCUUUAGAUCUACUCCCUUUGCUCACACUGAUGAAUUUGAACGGGAAACAUUGUGUCACUUCCAAGAGUCACUUGUAACAGAUACAAAAUAACCAUAAAACUAGAUACAGUAACAACAAAAAGUUAUUAACUGCAGCUCAGUGAUUCUUAGCCCAGUCUGCACAGAGAAUCUCCAGCUGAUUUUUUUUAAUUUUAAUAGAAAUAUAGGUGAUUUAUAAUGUGUUAAUUUCUGCUAUAUAAAAAUGAUUCAGCUAAACAUACAUAUAUAUACACAUUCUUUUAAAAUUUGUUUUCCAUUAUGGCUUAUCGCAAGAUAUUGAAUAUAGUUCUCUCUACUAUACAAUAUGAGCUUGUUGUUUACCCAGCUGAUUUUAAAGACAUGUUGGAAGAGGGCAGAGAUACAGGUAAAAAAUUGGUGGUUACCAGAAAGGAAGGUGAGGAGCGCCAAAAUAGGUGAAGGGAAUUAAGAGGUACAAGCUGCUAGAUGUAAAAAAAACUUACAAGAAUGUAAUAUAUAGCACAGAGAAUAUAGCCAAUAUUUUAUCAUAAUCUUAUAUGGAGUAUAAUCUAUAAAAAUAUUGAAUCACUAUGUUAUAAAUCUGAAACUAAUAUUGUAAGUCAACUAUCUGAGUGCUGUGCUAAGUCACUUCAGUCAUGUCUUUUUCCAACCCUGUGGACUAUAGCCAUAACCUUUAUGCUCAUCUAUGAAAGAAUCCCUUUUUACAUUUUGGUUUUUUUUUAACACUUAUUUUUAUUUAUUUGGCUACACCAGGUCUUACUUGCGGCACAUGGGAUUUUCUAUCUUCUUUGCAGCAUGUGGGAUCCUUAGUUGUGGCAUGCAAACUCUUUUGUUGGAGCAUGUAGGAUCUAGUUUCCUGACCGGGGAUUGAACCUGGGCCCUCUGCAUUGGGAGCAUGGAGCCUUAGCCACUGGACCACCAGGGAAGUCCCAUGAAGGAGGCUUUGAAUGUGGGUGGGCUUAGAGUAUGGUGGAAGUGCCCCCAUGUGACUUCUGAGGCUAGUUCAUCCAAGGCAAUGCAACUGUUUUGUGUUUUUGUUUUUUUUUUUUUUUUGCGGGGCGGGGGGAGGGGAAUACCCACUCUUGGAACCCAGCCACCACCAUGCUGUGAGGAAUCCCAAGCCACCAUGUGCAGGAGCCCACAUGGAGAAGAAACCACAGCUGGCACCAACUUCCCGGCAUGAGAAGGGAUCUUUCCGACCAAGGGAUUGAACCUGAGUCUCCUGUGUCUCCUGCAUUGCAAGUGGAUUCUUGACUCACUGAGCCAUUGGGUUAUCAAUCAUGCAUUCUGCUCAAAUUACUAUUUGCUUUAAGUUUUUCUUUAAAUCUACUCCCUUCACUCACACUGGUGUAAAUAGGAAAAAAUGUGUCACUUCCAGAAGUCCUUUGUCAAACAGAUCAAAAAUAAUAACAAAAAUAAGAUACAAUAACGACGAAAGUGUUAUUAACUGCCUCUCAGUAAUUCUUAACCCAGUCUGCACAAGAGAAUCCCCAGCUGAAUUUCCAAAAAGGGGGAUGGGUGACCUGGCCCUUUCUUACUUCUAAUGAAUGAAACCCAAAUCUCUGAAGGUGACUGGGUCCCAACAAUAAACUUUUAGUGUUGUUCCAAGUCACUCAGUUUAGGGUGGUUUUUUUUUUUUAUGGCAGAUGACAACCAGAGCAACUUUGUGCACAAUGCCAGCUUCUAACUUUGUUGUUGCUAAUUUGCUAAGUUGUGUCUGACUUUUUGUGACCACUUGAACUGUAGCACACCAUACCAGGAAGCCUUCUUUGAUUUCCUUACUCUGGAAACAUGUAGAGAUGCUCUCGUGGGGGAGGCUGCUGAUAGUGCCCACCUACUAAGCAGGCACUAAGACGCAGGUGGCAGAUAUGUAGCUCUGGACUCUCCAUGGGUCCCUGGCUCUGGAAUAUACUGAACAUGGGACAUUGGACAUUGGAUAAUGCAAUAACCUCAUCUGAGCUUCAGUUUUGUCGCCUGUAAAAUGGGGGCAACGACACCUACCUCUCCAUAUUGUGAUGAUUAAAUGAGUUUAAAAUUCAUCCUCUGAAGCUUGUAUACAGCAGGUGUUGACCAGGAUAUGGCCAUACUAAUGAGAAAAUGGAACAGUGCUCUACUUACCUCCUCGAGGAAGGAAAACAGCUGUUCAGUUUUAG
ensembl:lncRNA